AGAACGAACGCUGGCGGCAGGCUUAACACAUGCAAGUCGAGCGCCCCGCAAGGGGAGCGGCAGACGGGUGAGUAACGCGUGGGAACAUACCCUCCGGUUCGGAAUAGCUCAGGGAAACUUGGAUUAAUACCGGAUACGGCCUAGCGGCGAAAGAUUCAUCGCCGGAGGAUUGGCCCGCGUUCGAUUAGCUAGUUGGUGAGGUAACGGCUCACCAAGGCGACGAUCGAUAGCUGGUCUGAGAGGAUGAUCAGCCACAUUGGGACUGAGACACGGCCCAAACUCCUACGGGAGGCAGCAGUGGGGAAUAUUGGACAAUGGGCGCAAGCCUGAUCCAGCCAUGCCGCGUGAGUGAUGACGGCCUUAGGGUUGUAAAGCUCUUUCGCUAGGGACGAUAAUGACGGUACCUAGACAAGAAGCCCGGACUAACUUCGCGCCAGCAGCCGC
rnacentral:rRNA from 1 species